GACCCAACUAGGAUUCUCAACACAAAUAGCAGCAGCGGUAGUAAUAGUUUUUCAAAGACCCACAAGUUAACAAAGGAGCACAAGGAAAAAAAUUCUAAAGACUCAAAAGAACAAAAAAGUGCCUUCAAAGAACCUUCCAGGGAACACAAAUCUUCCAAAGAAUCCUCUAAGAAACCCAAAGAAAACAAACCACUGAAAGAUGAAAAAAUAGUUCCUAAGAUGGCCUUCAAGGAACCUAAACUCAUGUCCAAGGAGCCAAAAUCUGAAAACAACUCCGUUCUUACCACAACAGGUGGGCAGCAGCAAGAAAAAAAGACCACUACAAAAAGACCCUCUGUUUUGGACUCUGAAGAACUUUCUGCAAAAAAAAGAAAAAAAAGUGGCUCGGAUUCUUUAUUUAAAAGUUUUUCUAGCACCUCACCACUGGUUCUUACUUGUUCAGCUGACAAAAAACAGAUGAAGGAUGUAUCUCCACUCAGUGUAGGAAGAGUCAAUGCACUGGAAAGAAAGACGCCUUCUCUGCCACCAUUUGAUGAUAUUGUAGAUCCCAAUGAUUCAGACACGGAAGAAAACAUAUCCUGUAAAUCUGAA